rnacentral:rRNA from 1 species
UACGUAGGUGGCAAGCGUUAUCCGGAUUUAUUGGGCGUAAAGGGAACGCAGGCGGUCUUUUAAGUCUGAUGUGAAAGCCUUCGGCUUAACCGGAGUAGUGCAUUGGAAACUGGGAGACUUGAGUGCAGAAGAGGAGAGUGGAACUCCAUGUGUAGCGGUGAAAUGCGUAGAUAUUAGGAGGAACACCAGUUGCGAAGGCGGCUCUCUGGACUGUAACUAACACUGAGGCACGAAAGCGUGGGGAGCAAACAGG